GGGGGUGCUUAGUUUGCGACUGAAAUUAAAAUCAGAAUGAAAAUCAGAAUGGAUUAGAAUCAGAAUCGGAAUAGUCAAAUCUCUCGAAGUUUUGAUUCGUGACUGAAAUCGAAAUGAAAAUUUUAAUCCGUAGAGGAGGUGGGGAUUGAGUUCUAGAUAGAUUGGAUAAUUCCUAUUCUAUAUCGGAAUCGAAAUUGGAAUAGAAUUUCUUCUAACCAAACGGCUGGAAUGAGAGUCACCUAUUCUUAUUUCG
rnacentral:lncRNA from 1 species